UAAAAAUGAGGAUAGUGAAUGUGCCGCUAUCUCCCCUUUUAUAAAAAGGUAUGGAGAAGUGGGAAACGGCAGACCCACCAUUUUUU
rnacentral:ncRNA from 1 species